rnacentral:lncRNA from 1 species
AUGAAUUGGGGCAGGAGAGUCGGUAGUGAGGUCCUAGGCUCUGGGGAAGUCAGCAUUAGGCCUGGGCACCACAGUGCAGGCAAUGUGAGAGCUGUGGGGAAGAGGCUGGAGCUAUUUCUACACCUGCUGCUUCAGUCAGAAGCCAGGACAGGAUGGGCUGUCCCUGUGGGGACACCACAAGGCCUAGCUCUGGGAUCUGGGGGAACUGAAGCCAGGAGAGGAGAUGGGCCCAGUAGAGGUGUUCAGUUCAGUGUCUUAACCUGGUCCUCAUUUCCCUAUUGUCUGUUCACCUCUGAAGACUCUGGUCUCCAAAGGGUGAAGAAUAGGUAUUCUAGUUGUACUAGAAGCACAGCUUUGCUCACAACUGACAUCACUCUCUCCACCCUACCUCCUAGCCCCCCAGGAAAGCUUGGGACGCCAUCUGCUGGGAUCGCAGGGGUGGCGAAUGGAGGGGAGCCAAGCACAGGGCUCCUUACAUGUGGAUCCAGUUGAGGAGCAUCCCUGAGAUUCAACGUUCGUUCACUCCUUAGAUGGAGGAUGUUUGGUAACAGGCUGUGGCAAGCUUCCAAGUAAGGAUAACUUAUUUACAGAGUAAUAUUGUUUCUCCUCUUUUGUCACUGAAAGUCACAGUGUGCUGCAGGGGGGAAAAACCCAGUGGACAGCAGGUGUGCUUCCUCCUAAAUCGGUAUAAUUUUUUUCCUUUGUUGUUCCUAUCUAUGAGUGUGUCCAGGGCCACAAAACCUGUGUGCCUCAGGGACUCUGGUCUAAAGAUUCUAGCAGCUUUACUUUUCUGUCAUGACUAGGGAAUGACCUCAGGGAAGUCCCCAAAUGAUGAUGAAACAGCCAGAUCUCUCUUUCCUUAGGAGAGAAGAUCAAAGCUCUCAUCCCUCCCAAUGCUCGGGUAAAGAUGUGGGCCACAUCAGUGUAUUUCUUCCUUCCACGUACCCUGGUUUCCCACAUCACCCGCUUUCAUCAUAGACCAGCUACUUGUUCUGUUAUUUUUUUCAUUCAGGGGAGGUUAGAGUAGGGGAGGCGGGAAGAGGAGGUUAGCUAAUCAGUUUGCCCUGUGAGUCCUGUGAAUGGAGUGACAUUAACGUCCACGAGAAUUUAUAGCCCCUGCUGGCUCUGAAAAGAUGUUUGUGUAAAAAUUGCCAGUAAAACAGUCAGCUGUGUUUGAAAGCUUGUUUCUUUGGGCAUACAUUUUAGAAUUUAGGUAAAUACUCAAUUUAUUUGGGAGCUAAAUUGUAGGGGAGUGGUAUUUUGUUUUGUCUAGGAUAACACCUUGUUAUGUA